rnacentral:rRNA from 1 species
AUUGAACGCUAGCGGGAUGCCUUACACAUGCAAGUCGAACGGUGUGGCGAACGGGUGAGUACUGUAUCGGAACGUGCCCAGUAGCGGGGGCUAACUACGCAACAGCGUAGCUAAUACCGCAUACUAUUGGAGCGUCCGAUAUCGGCUUGGCUAGUUGGUGGGGUAAUGGCUCACCAAGGCGACGAUCCGUAGCUGGUUUGCGAGGCUGACCAGCCACACUGGGACUGAGACACGGCCCAGACUCCUACGGGAGGCAGCAGUGGGGAAUUUUGGACAAUGGGGGAAACCCUGAUCCAGCCAUCCCGCGUGUGCGAUGAAGGCCUUCGGGUUGUAAAGCACUUUUGGCAGGAAAGCGGUACCUGCAGAAGAAGCACCGGCUAACUACGUGCCAGCAGCCGCGGUAAUAC